GGGAGAUUGACGGCAACUUGGUAGACCUAUCUCGCUUAGAACGAGAUGCUUGAGGGUUCGAAUCCCUUGUCUCCUACCA
rnacentral:tRNA from 5 species